AUCGCGAGUCGAACGAAGGAAUCUUCGUUCUAAUAAGAAAGUCACGAAAAAGAAGAAACCGAUUCAAGUGGUUUAUCAUAUAUGUAGGUAGAUAUAAAGCUAUGGGCGAUAAAACGGUAGCUGAAACUGACUUUGAGCAUCGACGGUUGAGCAAACGACUGCAAACAGGGGAAAUAUCGCAGCUGGCCAACAAUCGAGGAAUAACAAAUUACUGUUCCACCACUAGCGGCGCGUCGCCCACCAAGCUGGACACUGCACUGUCGCGAUAAAAUGGAAGCACGUGCGUCACAAAGGAUACAAUCCCUAGCGUGAGGCUCCGGCAACUCUAUCGUAAAGGAAGGAAGAAAGAACACAAAUAUGGUCGCAGCAACUGAGAAUUGUAUUAGUCAAAGUAAAACGGAGAAGAAGAAAGAUAUAAAGAGGAAAAGAAGACGAAACAACAAGUGUAGAAACCUAAGCAUAGUUAACAAUGGUAUACGCAACUCAGGGACAGUUGUAUCAAUAUCAAUAUCUGAGAAGAAUAACGUGGGCCAACGACCAGCCGUUUCCCGCAAGAUAAAAGCGCGUUAGGCCAAGAGAUACGCCAUGAAUUCAUCCUGCCGAAGACGAGUGGGUGUGUUCUACCGGAAAUACAACACCGGAACCGCGGCAAAUUACAGCGCUAACUCAACGCUCCUUCGAUGUUACAAUUACAAAAUUACUUUUUCGAAAAUAAAUGUUUAGCGAAAGAUUACAUUUGCAUCCUACGUGACACGCCAAACUCGUUGUUGUCGCGUCGAUUUACGGAAAAAAUACUAAUCGUAAGAAUCGUAUGUGAUGCGACGCGAAAGAGUAAGAAAAUAUAUAUAAGGACGAACGAUACGUAGCAGAUAUCUGUGUAUCGUGUGAAAAAUACGCGCGCGCAUGCUAUCUUUAUUUAUAUGAUAAAUUCUUUUAUCGAUAUAAUAAAAGUAGCUUAUAAAUAUAAGAAACAAUGAUUCGACCGUGGAAAUUUCAUUUACAUACACGAUGUAAAAAAGACCUGUUCUUGUAUGUCAAACUUGCAUAAAGAGUUGUGAACGAUCCAAAUAAAGAGACGAAUAAAAACAUUGAUAUAGGAAUAUCAAAAUGAUUCAUAAACAUACGCAGCACGUCGGAAGUCACUGAUUGUUUCGAAGGAUGGUGACCUCUGUCUCUCUGUCUGCCACAGGUCAAUCGCCUUUUUACCAAUUAACUUGAUCCCUCUGUCGUCGUAAAUUAAACAACAGCUCUUAACUUACUCACCUACUGUAUCUAAAAAUUCA